AGUCUGUCUGAAGGAUAGGUGCCUGU
rnacentral:piRNA from 1 species